ACGGAAGGCAGCAGUGGGGAAUAUUGCACAAUGGGCGCAAGCCUGAUGCAGCAACGCCGCGUGAAGGAAGACGGUUUUCGGAUUGUAAACUUCUGUUCUUAGUGAAGAAUAAUGACGGUAGCUAAGGAGCAAGCCACGGCUAACUACGUGCCAGCAGCCGCGGUAAUACGUAGGUGGCAAGCGUUGUCCGGAAUUACUGGGUGUAAAGGGAGCGCAGGCGGGAGAUCAAGUCAGCUGUGAAAUCCAUGGGCUUAACCCAUGAACUGCAGUUGAAACUGUUCUUCUUGAGUGAAGUAGAGGUUGGCGGAAUUCCGAGUGUAGCGGUGAAAUGCGUAGAUAUUCGGAGGAACACCGGUGGCGAAGGCGGCCAACUGGGCUUUUACUGACGCUGAGGCUCGAAAGUGUGGGGAGCAAACAGGAUUAGAUACCCUGGUA
rnacentral:rRNA from 1 species